rnacentral:rRNA from 1 species
UACGUAGGGGGCUAGCGUUGUCCGGAAUGAUUGGGCGUAAAGCGUCCGCAGGUGGCAAUGUAAGUCUGCUGUCAAAGCGUCUGGCUCAACCAGAUAAAGGCAGUGGAAACUACAUAGCUAGAGUAAGGUAGGGGUAGAGGGAAUUCCUGGUGUAGCGGUGAAAUGCGUAGAGAUCAGGAAGAACACCGGUGGCGAAAGCGCUCUGCUGGACCUUAACUGACACUGAGGGACGAAAGCUAGGGGGAGCGAAUGGG